rnacentral:rRNA from 1 species
CCUACGGGUGGCAGCAGUGGGGAAUAUUGGACAAUGGGGGGAACCCUGAUCCAGCGACGCCGCGUGAGUGAAGAAGUAUCUCGGUAUGUAAAGCUCUAUCAGCAGGGAAGAAAGAAAUGACGGUACCUGACCAAGAAGCCCCGGCUAACUACGUGCCAGCAGCCGCGGUAAUACGUAGGGGGCAAGCUUUAUCCGGAUUUACUGGGUGUAAAGGGAGCGUAGACGGUAAUGCAAUUCUGGAGUGAAAUGCAGGGGCUCAACCCCUGAACUGCUUUGGAAACUGUAUGACUGGAGUGCAGGAGAGGUAAGUGGAAUUCCUAGUGUAGCGGUGAAAUGCGUAGAUAUUAGGAGGAACACCAGUGGCGAAGGCGGCUUACUGGACUGUAACUGACGUUGAGGCUCGAAAGCGUGGGGAGCAAACAGGACUAGAUACCCCUGUAGUC